AGAGUUUGAUCCUGGCUCAGGACGAACGCUGGCGGCGUGCUUAACACAUGCAAGUCGAGCGGAGAUAUAUUGAAGAUUUAUCUGAUGUAUAUCUUAGCGGCGGACGGGUGAGUAACGCGUGGGCAACCUGCCUCAUACAGGGGGAUAACACUGGGAAACUAGUGCUAAUACCGCAUAACAUAGAGAAGUGGCAUCACUUUUUUAUCAAAGGAGUAAUCCGGUAUGAGAUGGGCCCGCGUCCGAUUAGCUAGUUGGUGGGGUAAAGGCCUACCAAGGCGACGAUCGGUAGCCGAACUGAGAGGUUGAUCGGCCACAUUGGGACUGAGACACGGCCCAGACUCCUACGGGAGGCAGCAGUGGGGAAUAUUGGGCAAUGCCCGUAAGGGUGACCCAGCAACGCCGCGUGGAGGAUGAAUGCCGUAAGGUUGUAAACUCCUGUGAGAAGGGAAGAAAGUGCGGAAUCGAAUUCCGUUUUGACUGUACCUUCAGAGGAAACCCCGGCUAACUACGUGCCAGCAGCCGCGGUAAUACGUAGGGGGUUAGCGUUGUCCGGAUUUACUGGGUGUAAAGGGCGCGUAGGCGGGUUUGUAAGUCAGAGGUGAAAUCCUGCAGCUUAACUGCAGAGCUGCCUUUGAUACUGCAAAUCUUGAGUUCAGAAGAGAGAGAUGGAAUUCCAGGUGUAGUGGUGAAAUACGUAGAUAUCUGGAAGAACACCAGUGGCGAAGGCGGUCUCUUGGUCUGUAACUGACGCUGAGGCGCGAAAGCGUGGGUAGCAAACAGGAUUAGAUACCCUGGUAGUCCACGCUGUAAACGAUGAAUACUAGAUGUUGGGCCUGAGGGCUCAGUGUCGCAGCUAACGCAUUAAGUAUUCCACCUGGGGAGUACGAUCGCAAGGUUGAAACUCAAAGGAAUUGACGG
rnacentral:rRNA from 1 species